rnacentral:sRNA from 1 species
UGUUAAAUUCUCAGUGGCUACAGCCACACU